rnacentral:rRNA from 1 species
GACGUAGGGUCCAAGCGUUGUCCGGAUUUACUGGGCGUAAAGAGCGCGUAGGCGGUCCGUUAAGUGUAGAGUGAAAGCUCCGGGCUCAACUCGGAAAUUGCUCUGCAUACUGGCGGACUCGAGGACGGAAGAGGUUUGUGGAAUUCCUGGUGUAGCGGUGAAAUGCGUAGAGAUCCGGAAGAACACCGGUGGCGAAGGCGGCCCGCUGGGCAGGAUGCUGACGCUGAGGCGCGACAGCGUGGGGAGCAAACAGG